AGUAAGCUGAGCAGCCGCGUGCACAGCGCCGAAAGGCCGUGUAUGAGGAAAGUCCGGGCUUCACAGGGCAGGAUAGCGGAUAACGUCCGCCGGAGGCGACUCUAGGACAAGUGCAACAGAGAUAUACCGCCGCGCCUGGCGCGGUAAGGGUGGAAAGGCGGGGUAAGAGCCCACCGGUCCCACAGGUGACUGCGGGACCCUGUAAACUCUAUCCGAAGCAACACCGCAGAGAAAACAGCGCCUUUGGGUGCAGGGCUUGCCCGGCCCGUUUUCGGCAGGUGGCUCGAGGCGUGUGGCAACAUGCGUCCCAGAUAGAUGGCUGCACAGACAGAACCCGGCUUACAGGCUUGCUCCU
rnacentral:RNase_P_RNA from 1 species